AACGGCUACCACAUCUAAGGAAGGCAGCAGGCGCGCAAAUUACCCAAUCCCGACACGGGGAGGUAGUGACAAUAAAUACUGAUACAGGGCUCUUUUGGGUCUUGUAAUUGGAAUGAGUACAAUCUAAAUCCCUUAACGAGGAGCAAUUGGAGGGCAAGUCUGGUGCCAGCAGCCGCGGUAAUUCCAGCUCCAAUAGCGUAUAUUAAAGUUGUUGCAGUUAAAAAGCUCGUAGUUGAACCUUGGGUCUGGCUGGCCGGUCCGCCUCACCGCGUGCACUGGUCCGGCUGGACCUUUCCUUCUGGGGAGCCCCAUGGCCUUCACUGGCUGUGGGGGGAACCAGGACUUUUACUGUGAAAAAAUUAGAGUGUUCAAAGCAGGCCUUCGCUCGGAUACAUUAGCAUGGAAUAAUAGAAUAGGACGUGCGGUUCUAUUUUGUUGGUUUCUAGGACCGCCGUAAUGAUUAAUAGGGAUGGUCGGGGGCGUCAGUAUUCGGCUGUCAGAGGUGAAAUUCUUGGAUUUGCUGAAGACUAACUACUGCGAAAGCAUUCGCCAAGGACGUUUUCAUUAAUCAGUGAACGAAAGUUAGGGGAUCGAAGACGAUCAGAUACCGUCGUAGUCUUAACCAUAAACUAUGCCGACUAGGGAUCGGACGGUGUUUUUAUGAUGACCCGUUCGGCACCUUACGAGAAAUCAAAGUUUUUGGGUUCUGGGGGGAGUAUGGUCGCAAGGCUGAAA
rnacentral:rRNA from 1 species